rnacentral:rRNA from 1 species
AUGGUCGGAACCACGAUUGCAAGGAUCAAUUCACAGAUACCAAAUGAUAUUAUAACAAGGAGGAUAGUUAUUAUUGCAAGAAGCUUCCACAAUAGGAUAUACAUCAUGUCCAUGGGCAUGAACACAAGUUCAAGGUCGACUCCCACUUCUUCAAUGCAUAACCUUUCAUUCACUACUCUAGAUAAAACUGAUUUCAGUGUCAAAACCUACCUGGUGAAUUAUCAGAGGAGUAUGACCCGUGAAAACUUUCGAGUUCACACAGUUUUAGAGAAGGCAUAUGUUCAACCCAUAGGGGCUUCUUAG